GAUGAACGCUGACAGAAUGCUUAACACAUGCAAGUCUUUGGCGAAGCUGUGCUCGCACAGCCUAGCCAAGGCGGACGGGUGAGUAACGCGUAAGGAACUUGCCCUGCAGUCAGGGAUAACAGACGGAAACGACUGAUAAGACCUGGUAAAGUCAGGCGGACCCAUGUCCAGCCUGAUGAAAAGAGAUGCUGCAGGAGAGCCUUGCGUCCUAUUAGCGAGUUGGUUGGGUAACGGCCCACCAAGGGGGUGAUAGGUAGCCGACCAGGGAGGGGGAGCGGCCACACUGGAGGGGAGACACGGCCCAGAGGCCUACGGGAGGCAGCAGUAGGGAAUCUGGCGGGAGGGGGGGAAGCAUGACGGAGCAGGGCCGCGUGAGUGAUGAAGAUCUUCGGAUCGUAAAACAAUGUUUUUAGGGAAGAAAAAAUGUGUAAGUAGAAAAGAAAAAAUUGACGGUACCUAAACAGAAAGCCACGGCUAACUACGUG
rnacentral:rRNA from 1 species